UUCCGGUUGAUCCUGCCGGAGGUCAUUGCUAUUGGAGUUCGAUUUAGCCAUGCUAGUCGUACGAACUUAGAUUCGUGGCGAAUAGCUCAGUAACACGUGGCCAAACUACCCUGUCGAGCGGCAUAACCUCGGGAAACUGAGGCUAAUUCCGCAUACGGCUCGAUGCCUGGAACUGGCUCGAGCUCGAAACGCUACGGCGCGACAGGAUGUGGCUGCGGCCGAUUAGGUAGACGGUGGGGUAACGGCCCACCGUGCCGAUAAUCGGUACGGGUUGUGAGAGCAAGAGCCCGGAGACGGUAUCUGAGACAAGAUACCGGGCCCUACGGGGCGCAGCAGGCGCGAAACCUUUACACUGCACGACAGUGCGAUAAGGGAACUCCAAGUGCGAGGGCAUACAGUCCUCGCUUUUGUGUACCGUAAGGUGGUACACGAAUAAGGGCUGGGCAAGACCGGUGCCAGCCGCCGCGGUAAUACCGGCAGCCCGAGUGAUGACCGCUAUUAUUGGGCCUAAAGCGUCCGUAGCCGGCCAGGUAAGUCCGUCGGGAAAUCCGCGCGCCUAACGCGCGGGCGUCCGGUGGAAACUGCCUGGCUUGGGACCGGAAGAUCCAGAGGGUACGUCUGGGGUAGGAGUGAAAUCCUGUAAUCCUGGACGGACCACCGGUGGCGAAAGCGCUCUGGAAGGACGGAUCCGACGGUGAGGGACGAAAGCUAGGGUCACGAACCGGAUUAGAUACCCGGGUAGUCCUAGCCGUAAACGAUGUCUGCUAGGUGUGGCACAGGCUACGAGCCUGUGCUGUGCCGUAGGGAAGCCGUGAAGCAGACCGCCUGGGAAGUACGUCCGCAAGGAUG
rnacentral:rRNA from 1 species